rnacentral:lncRNA from 1 species
AAGAUUUCAGCAGUGUUUCAGGCAAGGGAAAACGUCUCGCGAGCGAGACACGUGCCCUGGUCACCGAGUUUCCGGCUUCUUGUGACUCGCCGUGUGUCCUUUCUUUACAAGUUACCUUGUUCCCUAACCAAGGGUUCUGUAUAGGCAUAACAGCAAACCAUGCGGUCAUGGAUGGCAAAACGGUAGUGAAUUUUUAUAAAUCAUGGGCUCAUAUCUGUAAAUCACAAACACAUGGAAAUAUAUUAUUACCUGAUGAUUUAACUCCCAGUUUAGACCGCACGAUCAUCAAUGUCCCUGCUUAUCUUGAAGCCAAGAUGUUGGUUCUUCAAGGUGAAAGAACCCUCAAGAUCCCUCAAGCUGGAGAGAUCGGCC